AAUGCUUGAGUAUAUGUGAACUGUUUGAGUUUGUGAUUUCCUAUUAUGUAUGCAAACGAAAUUUGUUGAAUAAUUGGAGAUUUUUGGAUUUAUGGUUUUCUACCCCUCAAGAUAGUCGGUUUUCAAAAUGGAGUUUUCGAGUGAAAAACAGUUUUAAAAAGAUUUUCGAAUGAUUUUUAUCAAUGAUUGGAUAGAGUUUAAAAACAAAGCUUUCGGGUGGAGAGCACUUUUAAAUAGGAUGACUGUUAUACUGUGCAUCGCAUCAUCCAGCGCCUGAGGAGUGUUUAGAGACAUGUAUCAUAUCUGAGGGUCGCUAGCUGUAUGAAAAUGUAUGGCAUGAAUUGCUUGUCGAUUGGAAAAUGUACAUUGUUGUGGUGAUCCUGAUGUUGUUGUUGGUACGCCGUGCAAAUACAAAGGAGACUCUGUCCGAGUGGACAGAGGAAUUUUGGAUUUGUGGGGGGUUUGUACGUCACGUGGGCUAGGUUGAAUUCAAAAUAAAAGGCACGUUUUUUGUAACUCUGAUUUCGAAAAUGGUAUUCAUUA
rnacentral:lncRNA from 1 species